GAUGAACGCUGGCGGCGUGCUUAAUACAUGCAAGUCGAGCGAAGCGGGGACGGGUGAGUAACACGUGGAUAACCUCCUAUAAGACUGGGAUAACUUCGGGAAACCGGAGCUAAACCGGAUAGUUAUAGAUGGAUCCGCGCUGCAUUAGCUAGUUGGUAAGGUAACGGCUUACAAAGGCAACGAUGCAUGGCCGACUUGGGAGGGUGGACGGCGAGACUGGAACUGAGACGCGGCACAUACGCCUACGGGAGGCAGCAGUGGGGAAACUGCCGCAAUGGGCGAAAUGCUGGCGGGGCAACGCCGCGGAAGUGGUGACGGCGUUCGGGUUGUAAAGCUCGGUUAAUCGGGACGCGGUACCGGAAUAGGAAGCCACGGCUAACUACGUGCCAGCCGCCGCGGUAAUUC
rnacentral:rRNA from 1 species